rnacentral:lncRNA from 1 species
AGGCCAAAAGGGUUCAUAGUUUUUUAGAUCUAGUUUAUAGUCAUCUCUAUUCUCUCAUCUAGAUCUGAAACUGAAAAGUGAGAGAGAGAUCGAGGCGAGACCGGAGGCCGGAGAGUUCAGUUGCUCUGAGAGUGAGAGAUCGAGAGCGGUCCAGACUGUCCAGUUGCUAGUCAUCUCUAUUCUCUCAUCUAGAUCUGAAACUGAGAAGCGAGAGAGAGACCGAGGCGAGAGCCGAGUCGCCGAGACGCCGAGUGACGACUGACGACUAUCAUACUGUGGUCUGUGGUCUGUGUAGCUUCUUCUUCUCUACAGGUAGUUUUCUCUUCGUUUUUCGGUCUUAACUUUUUGGUUUUUUAGUUUUUCGUUUGAGUUACCUUGUUUUGAAGUUGAUUUUGUUCUAUGGUUUGAUUUUGUUCUAUGGUUUCAGUCUAUGAUUUUGUUCUAUCUUUUGUUUGGUUGCUGUCGCCUAUGGUUUUAGUCUAUGAUUUUGUUCUUUCUAUUGUUAUUCUGUUUGUUCCGUUUUUUUUUUUAAUUUAUGUUAAUUUAUUUUGUAAUUCUACCUGAAGUAUUGGAAGCUGCAGGGGUUAAGUUCAAUGGCUGAAAAUUGAAAUCAAGUAUAUGAACUGCAGUUACUGCAUGAAUUAGAGAUAUAGAUAAUAGAUUAGAUAUUCCUUGAAAUUACAUUUCUGGAAUCAUUAUCUUUUGUAAAAGUUCAUUUCUAGAAUCAUUACAUUUCAUGUUUAGGCCUGUUUUCAUUUGAAUUUUUACCAAACAUACAUGUUCAGAUAUUUUUAUGAAUUGUUGUUGAGAAGCAGAAUGCUUAAUUGGUUCUUAGAUUUCUUUGUAACUGGACUGGUGAUGGUUUUAUCAAUAUCACUAUAAAGUGAUCACUGAUCACAGAUAGCUCAAUGUGAUUUACUACAAUUCCAGUGCCAAUAAGAGCAUCUCGAUGAGCUUGAAUUUUUGUGUUAUGUAUAUGAAUGCAUAUGCAUGGAGAUACAUUUAGUAUGUUCGAUCUAUACAGCUUCAUAUCUUAUUUUUCUAGCACAAUAGAACUCUUGUCAUAUAUAUGCUCUGCUUGGCUGACAUGCUUGAACAGAAUCAGAUACACACAUUAUAGUGCACAAAAUAUAUGUCAUACUCUCUCUUUUUACUAUGCAGAACACUGGAAAUUCUGAAGGAGCUUAAACUGUUGUUUGGUUCGGUCACUGCCAUUCCUAUACAGGUUUUCCUAACAGGCAGGGUAUGCAAAUAUCUUACACAUAUUACUUUUCAUAUCAAUUUAAAUUCUCUAACUCAACAUAAUUCCACACAUCUUCUGAGCAAAUUCUCUAAAUUGCAGGAUCUGUUUUGAUUUUGCAGGAUCUGUUUUUAUUUGUCUGUUUUCAUUUGCAUUUGCAGGAUCUGUUUUGUAUUUGCAGGAUUUGUUUUGAUUAGGCCUCUGGCCUGUUUUCGUUUUGCAGAUGGGAUUGCAAGUAUACACCUGUUUUCAACUAAAGCAAAUGCAUUUGGUAUUUGGACCAUCUGCAUUUUCUGUUGAUGGUGAUUGGUGACAUGUCAAAUGAAAAUAUGAAAUGAAUAGUCUUGAUGUCUUAUGUCUUGGUUUGAAUUUGUGUACUUUAUCAUUUAUCAAUCGACAAUCAUUUAUCGUUGUAUGUAAAUUGUAAUAUGAUACACUGUUACAACAACAGAACUUUCUUUAGAAAGAAAGUGGAGACAGCCAGACAGGAGAGAAUAAUUGAUUAAAAUUUAGAUAUUAUUGUGAAUUUGUGAUGUACAUGUUAUUUUUAUAAAAAAAAAAAUGAAAAGGCCCGCGAGCCGGGCUAGGCCGGCCCAACCCGGGCCACAGGCCACUUAAUUUUAGCCCGCCAAAACCUAGG